UACGUAGGGGCGAGCGUUGUCCGGAUUUAUUGGGCGUAAAGAGCUCGUAGGCGGCUGUUCGAGUCGGGUGUGAAAUCCUGAGCUUAACCUUGGGUCUGCAUUCGAUACUGGGCGGCUUGAGUCUGGUAGGGGGAUCUGGAAAUUCCUGGUGUAGCGGUGGAAUGCGCAGAUAUCAGGAGGAACACCGGUGGCGAAGGCGGGAUCCUGGCCAGUACUGACGCUGAGGAGCGAA
rnacentral:rRNA from 1 species